CCUCGCUCUGCUUCUCCACCCGCCAUGGGAGCCGUUUUCCUCAGCCCAGCUCUGUUGAUGCUCAUUCUGGGCCCAGUCCCAAAGUAAGCUGCUCGCAACGGUGGACUAGACCGGUCAGCUUUCUCCCUUGCCCCAGAACACACUUCGUUUUUUUCUUAGAGGAAGAGGCUUCCAGCGCUCCUGCGUUCUGCUUUCCCAUUGCUGAAGUGACUCCCCGGAGAGCAGAGGUCUGUGGACCGCCCAACAUGUAAAGGAAAGUGCCCCUGGUAUGGACAUGCCAGAGCCUGGCUGUGCUUCCGGUUCCUCGGGAUUGGGCUUGGCCUCUGUCCUCGGGAUUAAUGUAACCCUCAUCAACUGAAUCUUUCUGAACUCAUCAGCAAGCCAGGGGUUGGAGGAGGCCCUCUGAGCAGCCCUGGGGGAAUCACCCAGGGUCCUCUUUUUUUGUGGCGCUCUGGGAAGAAAGCCCCACUAGGAGCUUAGUAGCCACAGAGCAGAGUAAGGUGGGGCUGUCUGCGCCUCUGUCAGUUGCCACUCAGAGGCGGUUCCCUGUGCACUCUGCAGGGGCGAAACCAUCAGGUCUGGGAGCAAACGCUGCAGGCUCUAUAUUGAGGUAGUACUUGAAGUCCACACCCAACCCUUUCUGUCUUGAUUUGUGAAGCAGUACCACCCUCCUGCCUUCAUCAUGUCCAGCUGGGACCUGCGAGGAACUCUGAGCCUUGAGGCCUGGGAGCUUGCCCUCUCGUCCUGGUCUCUGCUCAACCCUGGUCAAGGCUCUGCCUGGAGUUCCCACUGCUGUUGCACCUUAAAUGAACUCUCUGGGAGUUGGGGAUGGGGAGGGAAAGCUCGUGUCAACAUUCCAAGUCAAAAUUUGAAGACAGCCGGUUUCCCUGGGCACAGGGGACCCUGGGGGCAAAAUUUGUACGUUGAACUCCUAACCCCCAAAUUCUAGAAUGUAGGAAGAGAUAAGCCCUUUAAGAGUGGUUCAAAAUGAAGCAGUCAGUCUGGGUCCUAAUCCAAUUUUACUGGUGUCAUAAGGUGACUAAGCCCCACUGAGGGUUGGGGGGGGGGCACCUAGUAGGAGAACUCCAGAGAGGAGUGGGCCACCUGUAGGCCCAGGAGGCGGGGUCAUACAGGACCUUUCCAUAGCUGACUAAGGCUUUGCCUUCACCAAUGCAACCAUUUAGGAAUUUAAUGGAGCUUUAGGGGUGAGUCUCUUGUAAAGGCCAGUUUGCUUAGGUCUUUUGCAUAUUAUGCUCUAUACAGCCUAGGGAUUCUGCUAGCAAGGCCAUUGCCUUGGCCUUGUACCAGAGCCAUGAGCUAAAACAAUACAACUUACCCAAGCUGUGGUAUUGUGUUAUUAGCAACCGAAAAUGCACUCAGACAAGUGUUCACAUUCGUAUUCCAGGAUCGUAUCUGGAUACCAGGGGCUCAGAAAAUGCCUUUCUCAUACUUCUCUGUAAAAAUAAAAAACUGGAAAAAAGUG
rnacentral:lncRNA from 1 species